rnacentral:tRNA from 1 species
GCCGGGGUGGCGAAAUGGCAGACGCAGCGGACUUAAAAUCCGCUUCCCCCAAAAGGAGUGUGGGUUCAAGUCCCUCCCCCGGCA